rnacentral:rRNA from 1 species
ACUGCCCGCUUUCUUCAGGCCUAACACAUGCAAGUCGAGCGGAUGAAGGGAGCUUGCUCCUGGAUUCAGCGGCGGACGGGUGAGUAAUGCCUAGGAAUCUGCCUGGUAGUGGGGGAUAACGUCCGGAAACGGGCGCUAAUACCGCAUACGUCCUGAGGGAGAAAGUGGGGGAUCUUCGGACCUCACGCUAUCAGAUGAGCCUAGGUCGGAUUAGCUAGUUGGUGGGGUAAAGGCCUACCAAGGCGACGAUCCGUAACUGGUCUGAGAGGAUGAUCAGUCACACUGGAACUGAGACACGGUCCAGACUCCUACGGGAGGCAGCAGUGGGGAAUAUUGGACAAUGGGCGAAAGCCUGAUCCAGCCAUGCCGCGUGUGUGAAGAAGGUCUUCGGAUUGUAAAGCACCUUAAGUUGGGAGGAAGGGCAGUAAGUUAAUACCUUGCUGUUUUGACGUUACCAACAGAAUAAGCACCGGCUAACUUCGUG